rnacentral:rRNA from 1 species
CCUACGGGAGGCAGCAGUAGGGAAUCUUCCACAAUGGACGAAAGUCUGAUGGAGCAACGCCGCGUGAGUGAAGAAGGUUUUCGGAUCGUAAAACUCUGUUGUAAGGGAAGAACACGUACGAGAGUAACUGCUCGUACCUUGACGGUACCUUAUUAGAAAGCCACGGCUAACUACGUGCCAGCAGGCGCGGUAAU